GGUGGUGCUGUUGCGCUUUUAAGCUGCUGCUUCACAGGAGCCGCGCCUCCGGUCGGUGGAGUCAGUUACAAGGGGAGCAGCCGCCCAGGGGCCGCCCCACAGCUCCCCGCAGAGGCCUCGGUGUCCCUUGCUGUUUUCCUGCCGCGCUCCGACUAGAGUCAAGGCAGCGGGAAGAGGCGGAGCCGCGAGAGCGCCGCCGAGCGGCCCCACCGGGUGGUCGCGGCCAUAACAGCGGCUCCUCACCGGCUCACCUUCCGCGCCCCCGCCGCCGGAGGUGAGGGAGAAACUAACAAUGAAAACGGACCCGUUGAGGGAGGAAAAGUUGGAAUGCAGCCUCUGGUGCUGUUUGAGCGAUCCCUCUCUCCCCGGUCGGGCCGCUGCUGUGUUCUGGAAAGGCGCAUUUUACGGUGGAUGUGGCAGUAUCAACCGGGAUCCGUGGUUCACAUCAUGUCCACCUCGGCCCCUGCUGCGGAGGGAGAGAGAACCCUCGCCCAGCCCGCGACGGAGAAAGAACCCGAAAUGCCCGGUCCCAGUGAGGAGAGCCAGAAGGAAGAGGACUAGGACGACGACUAGGACGAGGACGAUGGGGAGGAGGAAAAAGAAAAGAGUCGCAUUGUGGAAGGCAAGAGGGGGAAGAAAAAAGUAGAGAGGUUGACAAUGCAAGUCCCUUCCUUACAGAGAGCCAUUUACAAUUGCACAAGGAAAGGGGCAGAAACUUUGUGAAAUUGAGAGGAUACAUUUUUUUCUAAGUAAGAAGAAAACCGAUGAACUUAGAAAUCUACACAAACUGCUUUACAACAGGCCAGGCACUGUGUCCUCAUUAAAGAAGAAUGUGGGUCAGUUCAGUGGCUUUCCGUUUGAAAAAGGAAGUGUCCAAUAUAAAAUGAAGGAAGAAAUGUUGAAAAAAUUUAGAAACGCCAUGUUAAAGAGCAUCUGUAAGGUUCUUGAUUUGGAGACAUCAGGUGUAAAUAGUGAACUAGUGAAGAGGAUCUUGAAUUUCUUAAUGUAUCCAAAGCCUUCUGGCAAACCAUUGCCAAAAUCUUCAACAACUUCUAGCAAAGGCAGUAAAAGGGAAAGGAAGAGUUCUGGAAUGGCAAGGAAGGCUAAGCGAAUCAAAUGUCCUGGAAUUCUGUCAGAUGAAUCUAGUAGUGAUGAAGAUGAAAAGAAAAACAAAGAAGAGUCUUCAGAUGAUGAAGAUAAGAAAAGUGAAGGGGAGCCACCAAAAAAGACAGCCAAAAGAGAAAAACCUAAACAGAAAACUACUUCUAAAAGUAAAAAAUCUGUGAAAAGUGCCAAUGUUAAAAGCAGAUAGCAGCACCACCAAGAAGAAUCAAAACAGUUCCAAAAAAGAAAGUGAGUCUGAGGAUAGUUCAGAUGAGGAAACUUUAAUUGAAAAGUUGAAGAAACCCCCUACAGAUGAAGAGUUAAAGGAAACAAUAAAGAAAUUGCUGGCCAGUGCUAACUUGGAAGCCAAGUUACAAUGAAACAGGUUUGCAAAAAGGUCUAUGAAAAUUAUCCUACUUAUGAUUAAACUGAAAGGAAAGAUUUCAUAAAAACAACUGUAAAAGAGCUAAUUUCUUGAGAUAGAGGACAGAGAAGAUGACUCAUUCCCAUAGAUUUGAAGAUCUGAUUUAUACUAUUAUACCAGCAAAGAGAAUGUAUUUCCUUUUCUAAUCCUUGUUAAGCAACGUUAGAACUUAUUGCGACCUUUUUAUCUUGAAUGUUAUGUGAAUUUGAGUUUGCUAUUUUAAAUUGCAUUUCUAUGCCACUUUUAGUUUAAAAUCUUGCAUGGCAUUAAUUGUUCCUUGCUUUUAUAGUUGUAUUUUGUACAUUUUGGGUUUCUUUAUAUAACGUCAUAGAUUCUUGAACUGUUGUGGCUUUUAGUGCACUUAAUAUUAGCUAGCUUAAGACAUACUUUUAAUCAAGUAGAACAAAAACUAUUAUGACUGGGAUUUAUACACACAGAGAUUGCAGUAUUUAGUAUAUGAAAUAUUUUGAAUAUACAUCUCUGUCAGUAUGAAAAUUCAGCAGCAGCGUGUCCAUCAUAUUAAAAAUAUACAAGCUACAGUUGUCCAGUUGACUGAAUUGGAACUUUUCUCCUGCGUGUGUAUAUAUGUCAGAUUGUCAGCAUGACAAAAGUGACAGAUGUUAUUUUUGUAUUUUUAAAAAACAGUUUGUUGUAUAUAAAGUUUUUUAUUUCUUUUGUGCAGACCACUUUUUAAACUCACAUAGGUGGGUGUCUUUACAGUUGUAGACUAUGGAAUGUCAGCGUUCAGCCAGACAGUAUGAUGGAGCAGUGAAAGUCAAUUCAGUGAUGGAACACUGAAGGAACAGACAGUUAUCCUGCUUUGCCUCAAAAGUGUCAUCAAUUUGUAAUUUUACUAUUAACUCUGCAAAAGUGUCUGUAGGUAUGUUUUAUAUUAAGGAAAGACCAAAUAUCAACAUAUCAAAGCUUCAAAAACUUUGGGAAAGAGUGUGAUUAAGUACAAGCUCAUUUGGUUUAUAAUAAAAGAACCUGUUUUUAUUAACUGCUUUUGCCUAUAUAAAAUGCUGAUAUUUACCGGAAACCUAGCCACCUUCAUGAUUACGAUUAAAGUACCAGAUUAUAAUGCCAGAAUAUAAUGUGCAGGCAAUCGUGGAUAUCUCUGACAAGAUGUGUCUCAAAAAUAAUAUACUUUUAUGUUAAAGAAAUUUAAUGUUUCUCUGGAAUUGGGGCUCUUGGCUUUUAAAGUUUGGCUAAUCAGUGUUGAUUCUAGAUGAUCAACAUAAUGGACCACUCCUGAAUGAGACUGAUUUUGUCUUUCAAAUUUACUGUCUUAAAUCAGUUUAUUAAAUCUGAAUUUUAAAACAUGCUGCUUAUGACAGAAUGACACAUUUGAUGUGCCAAUUAAGUGUUGAAAACUAUGUUUGCGUCAUAGAACAGAAAUAUAUAAAAAUAUAUGUUGAAUGUUAACAGGUAUUUUCACAGAUUUGACUUGUUUCUUGAUAGUUACUCAGACACUAGGGAAAGGUAAAUAGAAGUGAACAAAAUAAGCAACUAAAUGAGACCUAAUAAUUGGCCUUUGAUUUUAAAUAUUUAAUUUGUUCUUAUAAACUGUGUCAACAAAAAUAAAUCUAAA